GUGUGGAUUUAAAAUAAAAUAAAAAUAAUAAUUUGUAAGUGUUGGGAGAAAUGUGUAUGUGUCUCUAAGUGUGUGUGUGUGGGUCAGUGAGUGCGUGCAUCUGUCAGUGUGUGCGUCUGCCAGUGUGUGUCCAAGUAAUAGUGUGUGUGUGUCAUUGUUUGUCAGUGUAUAUUAGAGUGUGUGUUUGUCAAUGAGUGUAUGCAUCUGUCAGUGAGUGAGCGUCUGUCAAAGGGAG